rnacentral:tRNA from 1 species
GGAGAGGUGGCCGAGUGGUUGAAGGCGCACGCCUGGAACGCGUGUAAGUGGGAAACUGCUUCGAGGGUUCGAAUCCCUCUCUCUCCG